rnacentral:tRNA from 1 species
GCGGCCGUCGUCCAGCCUGGACUAGGACGUAGAUCAACACCUAAAAGGUGUUGACCGCAAGCCCUCCAAGCCUGAGCUUGUUAAAACGGGUUGCCGCACAACAGGAUACCCGGGUUCAAAUCCCGGCGGCCGCACCA